UCUCGAUUGGUCUAGUGGUCAGGAUACCUGCUUGUCAUCUCGAAGAUGGUUCAUCUUCCGGCAAGUCGCAGGUGGCCGGGGUUCGAUUCCCCGAUCGAGAG